rnacentral:tRNA from 1 species
GGGGCCGUAGCUCAGUUGGGAGAGCGCUAGACUGGCAGUCUUGAGGUCAGGGGUUCGAUUCCCCUCGGCUCCA